GCCAUUAUGUAACGCAACACAUCACAACUAAUCACAUCUCGGAUGGUAUUGUCACCAAUAGUCCUCUACAUAGUCCAACUGUGCCGGGACGUAGAAUGGGUACAACCGGUCUUUCUCUUAACAUAACAUAUCAUACAGUCCAACUGUGCCAGGGACGUAGAAUGGGUACAACCUGGACUUCCUCUUACAUCGUGCCAGGGACGUAGAAUGGGUACAACCUGGACUUCCAUACCAUAUCAUGCCAUAACAUCAUCAUAUCAUAUGAGGACUAAAGGAUCAUCCAAUGACCAAUCCACAUCAACAUCAUAAAUGUAAUGCAACAUAUUCGUGAAUACUAAUGCAAGCAACCUACUAUAUCUCAUGGCGUUCAUGAUGCAUGGAUCAUGCUCAAAAUUCAUAUUUCAUUUAUUUUAAAACUUAAAGUUUAU
rnacentral:lncRNA from 1 species